rnacentral:tRNA from 1 species
GCCGGAAUAGCUCAGUUGGGAGUCGGGAGAGCGUAAGACUGAAGUUGUUUACGCAACAGUCAUCUAAAGGCCCCCGGUUCAAUCCCGGGUUCCGGCA